rnacentral:rRNA from 1 species
UACGAAGGGGGCUAGCGUUACUCGGCUUGACUGGGCGUAAAGGGCGCGUAGGCGGUUCGUACAGUCAGACGUGAAAUUCCUGGGCUCAACCUGGGGGCUGCGUUUGAUACGUGCGGGCUUGAGUUCGGAAGAGGGUCGUGGAAUUCCCAGUGUAGAGGUGAAAUUCGUAGAUAUUGGGAAGAACACCGGUGGCGAAGGCGGCGACCUGGUCCGAUACUGACGCUGAGGCGCGAAAGCGUGGGGAGCAAACAGG